rnacentral:rRNA from 1 species
GAACGAAGCACAGUAACGGAAACUCUUCGGAGCGGAAGAGACUGUGACUGAGUGGCGGACGGGUGAGUAACGCGUGGGCAACCUGCCCUGUACAGGGGGACAACAGCUGGAAACGGCUGCUAAUACCGCAUAAGCGCACAGCUUCGCAUGAAGCAGUGUGAAAAGCCUCCGGGCGGUACAGGAUGGGCCCGCGUCUGAUUAGCUGGUUGGCGGGGCAGCGGCCCACCAAGGCGACGAUCAGUAGCCGGCCUGAGAGGGUGGACGGCCACAUUGGGACUGAGACACGGCCCAGACUCCUACGGGAGGCAGCAGUGGGGAAUAUUGCACAAUGGGGGAAACCCUGAUGCAGCGACGCCGCGUGAGCGAAGAAGUAUUUCGGUAUGUAAAGCUCUAUCACCAGGGAAGAAAAUGACGGUACCUGAGUAAGAAGCUCCCGGCUAAAUACAUGCCACCAGCCGCGGUAAUACGUAUGGAGCAAGCGUUAUCCGGAUUUAUUGGGUGUAAAGGGAGCGCAGGCGGCCUUGCAAGUCUGAUGUGAAAUACCGGGGCUCAACCCCGGAGCUGCAUUGGAAACUGUGAGGCUGGAGUGUCGGAGAGGCAGGCGGAAUUCCUAGUGUAGCGGUGAA